AGCGAACGCUGGCGGCAGGCUUAACACGUGCAAGUCGAGCGGGCACUUUCGGGUGUCAGCGGCGGACGGGUGCGUAACGCGUGGGAACGUUCCCUCUGGUUCGGAAUAACUCAGGGAAACUUGAGCUAAUACCGGAUACGCCCUUUUGGGGAAAGGCUUGCUGCCGGAGGAUCGGCCCGCGUCUGAUUAGCUAGUUGGUGAGGUAACGGCUCACCAAGGCGACGAUCAGUAGCUGGUCUGAGAGGAUGAUCAGCCACACUGGGACUGAGACACGGCCCAGAAUCCUACGGGAAGCAGCAGUGGGGAAUAUUGGACAAUGGGCGCAAGCAUGAUCCAGCCAUGCCGCGUGAGUGAUGAAGGCCUUAGGGUUGUAAAGCUCUUUUAUCCGGGACGAUAAUGACGGUACCGGAGGAAUAAGCCCCGGCUAACUUCGUG
rnacentral:rRNA from 1 species